GUCUAACAAAUUACAUUUGCAUUAUGGGAAAUAUAGGGUCCAAAGUUUUUGGAUCUUGACCCAUACAAAGGACAAACAUAUCUGGAUAU